CGUCAUCACCAUGAGCAACAAUCUGGGGGAGGGGAUUCCACACCGUGUAUCCUGCUGCCCCAUAUAGUGGUGGCAGUGAUGGGCCUGUGCAAGGUGUGGCAGGCCCAUCACAGCCAGUGCUGCAGCCUUUGCUAUCCCAGACAGCAGUAUACAGGUUUGAUCAUAGAUGUUUUUUAUAGUCUGACCCUCCAAUGGUCUAAGGGACAGUGAACUGGCACCCUGUGUAAAAGUUUGGGGACCCCCAUGGUCUAAAAAGUUCUCUGACCUCCAGGAGUUUACAAUCUAAUGGAAGACACAAUAAGCAAACUACUUUGUACAAACUAUAUAAAAGAUAAAUAAGAAAUAACCAAGUAAGGCACUAAAAUUAAGAGGGGUUAGGAAAGUCUUCCUAUAGAAGAUGGGGAUUUAGUUGAGACUUGAAAGAAGUUAGUAGACAGAGAUGAGAAGAGGGAACAUUCCAGGCAUGGGAGACCACCAGAGAAAAUGUUUGGAGUCAAGAGAUGGAGUGUCUUUUCCUGAAAUAGCCUGGAACCAGUGUCAGUGGAUCAAAGGGGGCCAGUUCCACAGCCAAGUGUCUUCACUCCAAGUCUGAGUGUCUGUCUUCCUUCCAGCUCCGAAUCAGUGUCUUCCAGUCCAACUCUGAGUGACUCUUCAUCCAGUCCAACUCUGAAUCUGAAGAUCUUCACUCCAAGCCCUAGUGACUGAUUGAAUCCCAAUGUGUCUCUGUUUCCACUAUUUAAAGACCUUUUUUUGUUUGUAUCACCUCCCCUAAACUUUAGGUCUACCAAUCACAGCCCAACACUCCUCUCCAGGACUACCCACUCUUUCACGCAUGGGUCACAGGCCUCCCACUCAAUGUAUGAAAUGGGUGUUCAUACCUUUUUGGUUAAUUCACACCUUUUUGUAGUUAGUUCAUACCUUUUUGUGGUUAAAAUGAGUAGAUCUAUUUUAUGUACUGGGUUUAUACCUUGGGGAUUAGAAUCUAAAAAUAGACAGGGGAUUACAAUUUAAUCUUCACAAUAAAGGAAGAGCUAAGUACCCUCAUUGUUACAAUCAGGGGAGAGCUAAAUCCAAUCUGCACAGUUCCCUAAGGAAAGAAAAUACAAUACUGCAAAUAGGAAAAUAAAACCCUCAGAAAGGAGUUAUAAAAUCACAAAGAAGGAAAUAGCUUCCUAAAAAUUAGAAAUGGACAAAUUGAAACUAAUGACUUCAUGAGACAGUAGGAAACAAUGAAGUACAUUCAAAAUAAAAAAAAAGAAGAAGAAAAUUAGAAAUCUCUCUUUGGAAAAAAAAACUGACCUAGAAAAUAUAGAUCUAGGGCAGAUACUGGAAUGUCUAGAAAACUGCCCUAAUGUUCUUGAACAAGAAAGGGGAAGUAGAAAUGGGAAGAAUCUACUGAUGCUGAAACAUAUCCCAAAUUAAAAAAUCCCAGAACUAUUAUAGCCAAAUUCCAACAUGCUAAGCCAAGGAGAAAAUACUACAGCCAAAAAAAAGUUUUUUCAAAAAUUGUGGAACCACAAUCAUGAUUACAUAGAGCCCAGUAGUUUCUGCAUUAAACAACCAGAUUACAUGGAUGGAAUUUGAUAUUCUGCAAGGAGAAGGAUUUAGGCCUACAACCAAACAUCACUUAUCUAGCUAAACCAAAUAUUUACACUCCA